rnacentral:misc_RNA from 1 species
CCAAUAGCGUAUAUUAAAGUUGUUGUGGUUAAAAAGCUCGUAGUUGAACCUUGGGCCUGGCUGGCCGGUCCGCCUCACCGCGUGUACUGGUCCGGCCGGGCCUUUCCCUCUGUGGAACCCCAUGCCCUUCACUGGGUGUGGCGGGGAAACAGGACUUUUACUGUGAAAAAAUUAGAGUGCUCCAGGCAGGCCUAUGCUCGAAUACAUUAGCAUGGAAUAAUAGAAUAGGACGUUUGGUUCUAUUUUGUUGGUUUCUAGGACCGCCGUAAUGAUUAAUAGGGACAGUCGGGGGCAUCAGUAUUCAAUUGUCAGAGGUGAAAUUCUUGGAUUUAUUGAAGACUAACUACUGCGAAAGCAUUUGCCAAGGAUGUUUUCAUUAAUCAGGAACGAAAGUUAGGGGAUCGAAGACGAUCAGAUACCGUCGUAGUCUUAACCAUAAACUAUGCCGACUAGGGAUCGGACGGUGUUAUUUUUUGACCCGUUCGGCACCUUACG